rnacentral:rRNA from 1 species
AGAGCGAACGCUGGCGGCAGGCCUAGUACAUGCAAGUCGAACGCACCUUCGGGUGAGUGGCGCACGGGUGAGUAACACGUGAAUAAUCUACCUCCGAGUGGGGAAUAACUGAGAGAAAUCUUAGCUAAUACCGCAUAAUACCCACGGGUCAAAGCAGCAAUGCGCUUGGAGAGGAGUUCGCGGCAGAUUAGUUAGUUGGCGGGGUAAUGGCCCACCAAGACGAUGAUCUGUAUCCGGCCUGAGAGGGCGCACGGACACACUGGAACUGAAACACGGUCCAGACUCCUACGGGAGGCAGCAGUGGGGAAUUUUGCGCAAUGGGGGAAACCCUGACGCAGCAACGCCGCGUGGAGGAUGAAGCCCCUUGGGGUGUAAACUCCUUUCGAUCGGGAAGAUAAUGACGGUACCGAUAUAAGAAGCCCCGGCUAACUUCGCGCCAGCAGCCGC